UACAGGGGGUGCGAGCGUUAAUCAGAAUUACUGGGCGUAAAGCGUGCGCAGGCGGUUAUGCAAGACAGAUGUGAAAUCCCCGGGCUCAACCUGGGAACUGCAUUUGUGACUGCAUGACUGGAGUACGGCAGAGGGGGAUGGAAUUCCGCGUGUAGCAGUGAAAUGCGUAGAUAUGCGGAGGAACACCGAUGGCGAAGGCAAUCCCCUGGGCCUGUACUGACGCUCAUGCACGAAAGCGUGGGGAGCAAACAGG
rnacentral:rRNA from 1 species